rnacentral:rRNA from 1 species
GUGAGGAAUAUUGCGCAAUGGAGGCAACUCUGACGCAGCCAUGCCGCGUGCAGGAAGAAGGCGCUACGCGUUGUAAACUGCUUUUAACCGGGAAGAAACCCCAGGACGUGUCCUGGGUUGACGGUACCGGAGGAAUAAGCACCGGCUAACUUCGUGCCAGCAGCCGCGGUAAUACGAAGGGUGCAAGCGUUAUCCGGAUUCAUUGGGUUUAAAGGGUGCGUAGGCGGAGCGUUAAGUCAGUGGUGCAAUCCUGCAGCUUAACUGUAGACUUGCCAUUGAUACUGGCGCUCUUGAGUGCGCUUGAAGUGGGUGGAAUGUGCCGUGUAGCGGUGAAAUGCUUAGAUAUGGCACAGAACACCAAUUGCGAAGGCAGCUCACUAAGGCGAUACUGACGCUGAGGCACGAAAGCGUGGGGAUCGAACAGGAUUAGAUACCCUUGUAGUCC